ACCUCACCUCACUCGCGAACCCUCACCUCACUCUCAAACCCUCUGUCACCUCAGCUCACUCUCGAACCCUCACACCCACCGAAAACACUUUAUCACCGAAAACCUCCACUGUCACCGAAAACCUCCACAGUCACCGAAAACCUCCACACUUCGUCGUAAACACAAGAAAUUGGCAGCAACCUCCAUCCCACGCAGAAGAGUCGACCUUCAUCGUCGACUCAGGCGAUGUGACUCCGUGGCAGCAAUGCGUCCCAACGAGGUUGAGGUUCAUGCUCCAACCCUGUCCAAAACGACGUUCAUGUUCACAAAGCAAAACCCCCUUCACAAACCAUAACUUUGUGCACAAUAAGGAAUCAGAAACCUCCACGAAUUCGGCAAGAAUUGUUGUUGCAUUUGCAUAUUGUGCUGAGGCGCUGUGUAUGCUUGAUGAUUUGCAACAUUUACUGGAUGGAGAUGAGCUCAGUGGUCUACAUCGCUUUAGGCAUCUUAGAGAUCAUGUAAUAGGCUUUAUAGAAUCUAUAAACAGAGUUGCACCAUCUAAGGUCCUAGCUUGGUUUUUUGUUGGUGAGAAGGUUAAAGUUCUGGUCCUGAAGUCACACUCUCUUGAUAAAAUUUCUUUAAGGUUGAGAAGAUUGAUUUGGUUGGACAUAUCCAAACUCUACUGCUGAAAAUAAAGGCAAAAACAUCAAAUUAUAGAGUUGAUGAUAGUGGUGGCAGUUAGAAGAAGCUUCACCUUCAAAGCCAAUACAAGCAAUCCAAAGAUAUGUCAUCAGGAUGUAAUAAAGACAUUGCUAAACCAUCUUUGCUUAUUGCCAAAAAGGGGAGAAAGGGGACAAUGAAGGGAAGACGACCAAAAUAUGUUCUUAUAUUACCAUAACAAAAAGCACCAUAACAAAAUCCUUCUACAACUUCAAUUGUUGUACCAAUUCCUUCCCAACCAUCAAAAGUUGAAUCUACCCCUUCCUAACCCUCCAUUGACCAACCCAUACCUUCUCAACCCCCCAUUGUUCACCUGUGCAACCUCAUGUUAAUGAACCUACACCUUCAUCUAUGGCUUCCCAAUGUGUUGGUGCUAGAUUGACAUCAUUAUCUUCCCCCUCUCAACAAAAUGAUACACAAACCUCAAUACCCACCCGAUCUAUUCAGAAUGUACUUCAAGAAGACCAACACAUGUCUACCGAAGAAGCAGGUGAACCAUCCAUAAAUGAAGACGAUGACCCUCAUGUUGGUGCGAUGCUUGAAAUUAUUGAACCUUGUAAUGAUGGAUUUUACCCAAGUAGAGUUGCCUCCAAGACAAUCACAAAGACAAUUAAGAAACAAUAUGUUGAGCCAUGGUUGACUUGGGGUGCAAUGUUGGAUGAAGAGAAGGAGGUCUUCUUCCAAAGGUUCAAGAGAAAGGUUACUUGGAGACCUGAACAUGAGGAGAAGAUUAGAAAGAUUUUUAACACAAAGGCCUCUCAUAGACUUUUUGAAAUCUUCAUGGAAGCAAGAAAAACUGGGAAAAAACCUUAUUGGAUGUUUGGUAGAGUAUGGAACAGUUUGCUUGCUAAGUGGAACCAACCCGAGUUUCGAUCAAAGAGUGCUCGUAAUCAAAAGAAUCCAGCAUCUAAGAAGGGUGGAUGUUUGCACAUAGGUGGCUGAAUCACCAUCCAUGAGCAUGCCCUUCGCAUGUAUGUACAUUAAAAAAUAUUGUUAUAUAACUUGAUUACUAUUUUAUCAUGAUUAAUUAGUUUUUGUUAUAAGUAGAACAGUUGGGUCGUCUUGUACAUUUUGAUGAGCUUUUCCACCAUACUCAUGUUCGAAAGAAUACUGGUGAUUUUGUAGAUCACAGAUUUAAACAAACAUAUGAGGAAUUUCAAACUGUAUUUUCCCAAGCAAGAUCUGAGGUUGCUUCUUGUGGUGAAUGAGAAGAAAUAUCUCCAUUGGACCCUGAUAAGGAGGAGAAGUUAAGGAAAAAUAGUUGGUUAGUUGUUGUUGAUGGCAAAAAUCCUAAGGGACGAGUAUAUGGGGUUGGAAAACUAAAUGAAAAUCAUCUUUCCGGGAAAGCCUUCACACAACAACCAUCUAGUUCUACAGCUAUGGAUUCACAAAAGAUUCUAAGGUUGGAAGAAGAAAUUCAUCAAUCUAGUGAGGAGUUUCGUCAAUCUAGGGAGGAGAAUCAACGACUGCAGAGAAAAUUAGAAUUCCUAGUAAUUGUUGUUCUCCCUCUUCUUCCUUCCGAUGCACAAAGCAUUUUGCAAGACAUCAAUGAACAACCACAAAAUGAGGACCAAAACCAAGAUGAUGCUCAGGAGAGGGACCACCAUAAUGGACAAAAAUCUUCUCAUUAUGCAGAUUAUUAGUUAGGUUUGUAAUUGUAGGACUUGACCUAUGUAGAUUAUUUGUUAGUUUCUUAAUUUGUGUUAUCUACUUUAUUUUAUAUUUGUAGUUUUUAAUGUUUUUGUGUGAUGAUAUGAAUGGUGCUAAACCUUUGGGAAACUAUAUUGUUAUAUUUGAAGGUGUUAUUUGAAUGCUAGGAUGUUUGUAGGAUCUACAGGUGGAGGCCAACUUUUAUGUCUAGACAUCACUUCUCUUGUCUAUGAUAUAAAACUACUAAA